rnacentral:rRNA from 1 species
AUGUCCUUUUUUGAUUCUACUCCUCUAGGCAGGAUUCUUAGCCGGGUCUCUUCAGAUUUGAGUAUCAUUGAUCUUGAUGUUCCAUUUGCCUUCAUGUUUACCUUUAGUGCCAGCUUAACUGCAUAUAGCAAUCUGGUAGUAUUGGCUGUUGUUACAUGGCAAGUUCUGUUUGUAUCGUUGCCGAUGAUAGUUUUGGCAAUUCGGUUGCAGAGGUACUAUUUAGCCUCAGCUAAGGAAUUGAUGCGGAUUAAUGGCACUACCAAGUCUGCCCUAGCAAAUCACUUAGGUGAAUCGAUUUCAGGGGUUAUAACAAUACGUGCCUUUGAGGAACAGGAUCGUUUCUUUGCUCAAAAUUUGGAGCUAGUCGACAAGAAUGCUAGUCCAUACUUUUAUAAUUCUGCAGCUACUGAAUGGUUGAUUCAGCGCCUGGAAACAAUGAGUGCUGCGGUUCUUUCUUUUUCUGCCUUUGUCAUGGUUCUUCUUCCUCCAGGAACUUUUAGCCCCGGUUUUGUUGGAAUGGCAUUCUCUUAUGGUCUUUCCCUAAAUAAUACUCUUGUUAACUGUAUUCAAAGGCAAUGCAGCCUUGCGAAUCAAAUAAUAUCUGUGGAAAGGGUGAACCACUACAUGGACAUACAAAGUGAGCCAGAAGUUAUUGAAGAAAACCGUCCGGCACCAGAUUGGCCCCAAGUUGGCAGUGUGGAGCUUAAAGAUCUGAAGAUUAGGUACAGGGAAGACGCACCCCUUGUACUACAUGGUAUCACUUGCAAGUUUGAAGUGGAGACAAGAUUGGUAUAG